GAUGAACGCUGGCGGCGUGCCUAAUACAUGCAAGUCGAGCGAACGGACGAGAAGCUUGCUUUUCUGAUGUUAGCGGCGGACGGGUGAGUAACACGUGGAUAACCUACCUAUAAGACUGGGAUAACUUCGGGAAACCGGAGCUAAUACCGGAUAAUAUUUUGAACCGCAUGGUUCAAAAGUGAAAGACGGUUUUGCUGUAACUUAUAGAUGGAUCCGCGCUGCAUUAGCUAGUUGGUAAGGUAACGGCUUACCAAGGCAACGAUGCAUAGCCGACCUGAGAGGGUGAUCGGCCACACUGGAACUGAGACACGGUCCAGACUCCUACGGGAGGCAGCAGUAGGGAAUCUUCCGCAAUGGGCGAAAGCCUGACGGAGCAACGCCGCGUGAGUGAUGAAGGUCUUCGGAUCGUAAAACUCUGUUAUUAGGGAAGAACAUAUGUGUAAGUAACUGUGCACAUCUUGACGGCACCUAAUCAGAAAGCCACGGCUAACUACGUG
rnacentral:rRNA from 1 species